AACGCACGAGACCUGCGGACCUGCGGAGGGAUCAUUAUAGAGUUUUUAACUCCCAAACCCAUGUGAACUUACCUUUGUUGCCUCGGCGGAGCCUACCCGGUACCUACCCUGUAGCGCCCCGCCGGUGGACUUCUAAACUAUUGUUAUUUUAAUGAUAUCUGAGAGUCUUAUUUUAAUAAGUCAAAACUUUUAACAAUGGAUCUCU
rnacentral:misc_RNA from 1 species